AACAGAACCCCCGAGCGUUACCCGGAUUUAUUGGGCGUAAAGCGUCUGUAGCCGGUUUGGCAAGUCGCAGGUUAAAUACUGAGAGCUUAACUUUCAGAAUGCCUGCGAAACUGUCAGACUAGAGGGCAUUAGGGGUUACUGGAACUCUUGGUGGAGGGGUGAAAUCCGUUGAUAUCAAGAGGAACACCAAAAGCGAAGGCAUGUAACUGGGGUGACCCUGACGGUGAGAGACGAAAGCGUGGGGAGCAAAAAGG
rnacentral:misc_RNA from 1 species